rnacentral:rRNA from 1 species
UACGUAGGGCGCGAGCGUUGUCCGGAAUUAUUGGGCGUAAAGAGCUCGUAGGCGGCCUGUUGCGUCCGCUGUGAAAUCCCAGGGCUCAACCUCGGGCCUGCAGUGGGUACGGGCAGACUAGAGUGCGGUAGGGGAGAUUGGAAUUCCUGGUGUAGCGGUGGAAUGCGCAGAUAUCAGGAGGAACACCAAUGGCGAAGGCAGAUCUCUGGGCCGUAACUGACGCUGAGGAGCGAAAGCCAGGGGAGCGAACGGG